rnacentral:lncRNA from 14 species
GUCCAGUUCACUAAACCAGAGAAAGAGCAAGUAGUCCAACAUACAAGAAAAAGGCUGAAUUCAAGAUCAUGCAAUGGAUACAAUGUGCGUGCAGCCUUCACAGCUGGUGAGCUUUGCCUUCAUGUACUUCAUUGCAAGAUGGUAGGCCUGAAGCUCACCAAUGAUUCCUACCCCAAGCCUAACCAAAUCCUGGUCCUACAGACUGCUGACCGUGUGGAACCAUGCAAGGAGGUUCAUUGAAAUUCAGUAGGACUGUGUGUGGACAUCAACAGAGCAAUGCUGUCUCUGUGUGUUGACUAGCAGUAUGGAGGCCUUAAUUUCUUAGGCUGUACUCUGUGUCAGUGCCAUUUAAUACAAAUUUUAAUGCCUCAUUUAGGUCAUAAAUCAUUGAAAGGAAUAAAAACAUAGCAUG